CGAAAGAUGGUUCUUUUUAAGCUAGAUACAACUCUUGUUCUGUGAAGUUUCUCAUCCUUAUAAAGGAAUCAACUCUAUCUUGGGACACGGUUCCUCAUAAUUACAACAUGCAACUUUCCUCUUUCUUAUUCUAAGGUAAGCUCAACUAGGUUAGUGACUUUUAAGUAUUUUGUUGUCAUCAAAAUCAAUUUUUUGAGAAUAAUAAUACCCA
rnacentral:lncRNA from 1 species